UACGUAGGGUGCAAGCGUUGUCCGGAAUUAUUGGGCGUAAAGAGCUCGUAGGCGGUCCGUCACGUCGGCUGUGAAAACCUGGGGCUCAACCCCGGGCCUGCAGCCGAUACGGGCGGACUAGAAUUCGGUAGGGGAGACGUGGAAUUCCUGGUGGUAGCGGUGAAAUGCGUAGAGAGUCCGGAAGAACACCGGUGGCGAAGGCGGCCUGCUGGGCAGUUUUGCUGACACUGAGGUGCGAAAGGCGUGGGGAGCAAACAGG
rnacentral:rRNA from 1 species